UGCUGGAGGUAUCAGAAGUGCGAAUGCUGACAUAAGUAACGAUAAAGCGGGUGAAAAGCCCGCUCGCCGGAAGACCAAGGGUUCCUGUCCAACGUUAAUCGGGGCAGGGUGAGUCGACCCCUAAGGCGAGGCCGAAAGGCGUAGUCGAUGGGAAACGGGUUAAUAUUCCCGUACUUGGUGUUACUGCGAAGGGGGGACGGAGAAGGCUAUGUUGGCCGGGCGACGGUUGUCCCGGUUUAAGCGUGUAGGUGUGUGUUCCAGGUAAAUCCGGUUCACUUUAACACUGAGGCGUGACGACGAGGCACUACGGUGCUGAAGCAACAAAUGCCCUGCUUCCAGGAAAAGCCUCUAAGCAUCAGGUAACAUCAAAUCGUACCCCAAACCGACACAGGUGGUCAGGUAGAGAAUACCAAGGCGCUUGAGAGAACUCGGGUGAAGGAACUAGGCAAAAUGGUGCCGUAACUUCGGGAGAAGGCACGCUGACACGUAGGUGAAGUGAUUUACUCAUGGAGCUGAAGUCAGUCGAAGAUACCAGCUGGCUGCAACUGUUUAUUAAAAACACAGCACUGUGCAAACACGAAAGUGGACGUAUACGGUGUGACGCCUGCCCGGUGCCGGAAGGUUAAUUGAUGGGGUCAGCGCAAGCGAAGCUCCUGAUCGAAGCCCCGGUAAACGGCGGCCGUAACUAUAACGGUCCUAAGGUAGCGAAAUUCCUUGUCGGGUAAGUUCCGACCUGCACGAAUGGCGUAAUGAUGGCCAGGCUGUCUCCACCCGAGACUCAGUGAAAUUGAACUCGCUGUGAAGAUGCAGUGUACCCGCGGCAAGACGGAAAGACCCCGUGAACCUUUACUAUAGCUUGACACUGAACAUUGAGCCUUGAUGUGUAGGAUAGGUGGGAGGCUUUGAAGUGUGGACGCCAGUCUGCAUGGAGCCGACCUUGAAAUACCACCCUUUAAUGUUUGAUGUUCUAACGUGGACCCGUUACCCGGGUUGCGGACAGUGUCUGGUGGGUAGUUUGACUGGGGCGGUCUCCUCCUAAAGAGUAACGGAGGAGCACGAAGGUUGGCUAAUCCUGGUCGGACAUCAGGAGGUUAGUGCAAUGGCAUAAGCCAGCUUGACUGCGAGCGUGACGGCGCGAGCAGGUGCGAAAGCAGGUCAUAGUGAUCCGGUGGUUCUGAAUGGAAGGGCCAUCGCUCAACGGAUAAAAGGUACUCCGGGGAUAACAGGCUGAUACCGCCCAAGAGUUCAUAUCGACGGCGGUGUUUGGCACCUCGAUGUCGGCUCAUCACAUCCUGGGGCUGAAGUAGGUCCCAAGGGUAUGGCUGUUCGCCAUUUAAAGUGGUACGCGAGCUGGGUUUAGAACGUCGUGAGACAGUUCGGUCCCUAUCUGCCGUGGGCGCUGGAGAACUGAGGGGGGCUGCUCCUAGUACGAGAGGACCGGAGUGGACGCAUCACUGGUGUUCGGGUUGUCAUGCCAAUGGCACUGCCCGGUAGCUAAAUGCGGAAGAGAUAAGUGCUGAAAGCAUCUAAGCACGAAACUUGCCCCGAGAUGAGUUCUCCCUGAGACUUA
rnacentral:rRNA from 33 species